GAUGAACGCUGGCGGCGUGCCUAAUACAUGCAAGUAGAACGCUGAAGGAGGAGCUUGCUUCUCUGGAUGAGUUGCGAACGGGUGAGUAACGCGUAGGUAACCUGCCUGGUAGCGGGGGAUAACUAUUGGAAACGAUAGCUAAUACCGCAUAAUAGCAGUUAUUGCAUGAUAACUGUUUGAAAGGUGCAAUUGCACCACUACCAGAUGGACCUGCGUUGUAUUAGCUAGUUGGUGGGGUAACGGCUCACCAAGGCGACGAUACAUAGCCGACCUGAGAGGGUGAUCGGCCACACUGGGACUGAGACACGGCCCAGACUCCUACGGGAGGCAGCAGUAGGGAAUCUUCGGCAAUGGACGGAAGUCUGACCGAGCAACGCCGCGUGAGUGAAGAAGGUUUUCGGAUCGUAAAGCUCUGUUGUAAGAGAAGAACGAGUGUGAGAGUGGAAAGUUCACACUGUGACGGUAUCUUACCAGAAAGGGACGGCUAACUACGUG
rnacentral:rRNA from 1 species